rnacentral:sRNA from 1 species
GUAUUGUUUCCUUGUUAGAAGAAACAAAGGCAAAGCCUCAUACAAACUUUAGCUUUACCAUCAAAGCCUUGAGAAGAAAGAAGAAGCUUGGUUAGUGUUUUGGAGUCAAAUAUUACUAGAUGUCAUGUGUAUGAGUGAGUAUGACAACUAGAACCAUAACCGGAUCUUAAAAACCUAAGUAUUGAAUCUUUGUUAGAAGAUACAAAGACAAAGACUCAUACGGACUUCGACUACACUAUCAAAUCUUUGAGAAGCAAGAAGAAGCUUGGUUAGUGUUUUGGAUUCGAAUAUGGCUUGAUGUCAUGUGUAUGACUCAGUAUAAACACUAGAACCGCAACGGAUCUUAAAAGCAUAAGUAUUGUAUCAUUGUUAGAAGAUACAAUGACGAAGACUCAUACGGACUUCGACUACACCAUCAAAGCUUUGAGAAGCAAGAAGCAGUUGGUUAGUGUUUUGGAGUCGAAUAUGACUUGAUGUCAUGUGUAUGAGUGAGUAUAAAAACUAGAACCGCAACGGAUCUUAAAAGCCUAAAUAUUGUAUCCUUGUUAGAAGAUACAUAGACAAAGUCUCAUACGGAAUUCGGCUAAACCAUCAAAGCUUUUAGAAGCAAGAAGAAGCUUGGUUAGUGUUUUGGAGUAA